rnacentral:rRNA from 1 species
CCAAUAGCGUAUAUUAAAGUUGUUGCAGUUAAAAAGCUCGUAGUUGAAUUUCGGGACCAAUAUGUCGGUCGUGCUUCGGUACGUACUUGCAUUAUUGGUUUCUCCCUUCUGAAGAACCAUGAUGUCAUUAAUUUGGUGUCUUGGGGAGUCAGGACUGUUACUUUGAAAAAAUUAGAGUGUUUAAAGCAGGCUCACGCUUGAAUACAUUAGCAUGGAAUAAUGAAAUAGGACGUUUGAUUCUAUUUUGUUGGUUUCUAGGAUCGACGUAAUGAUUAAUAGGGUUAGUUGGGGGCAGUAGUAUUCAAUUGUCAGAGGUGAAAUUCUUGGAUUUAUUGAAGACUAACUACUGCGAAAGCAUUUGACAAGGAUGUUUUCAUUAAUCAAGAACGAAAGUUAGGGGAUCGAAGACGAUCAGAUACCGUCGUAGUCUUAACCAUAAACUAUGCCGACUAGGGAUCGGAUGAUGUUAAUUUUUUAAUGACUCAUUCGGCGCCUUACG